GGUUCUGUACCCCAGGUGUGGUGAGGGACAUCUACACUCUCCUAAGGAGGCUCCUGGAGCCCCCCACGAAGCAGUCACUGGAAAACUUGGGUGGUUUGUACCAAGUUGUAUAGAAAAGAAGAAUUUCAGCCUUUGGAACCAACCCAGGAACAUAUAUUUCCACCUGAAUGAAUGGGAUGACCCUAGAUGCCGGCCCAGGUGCAGGACAUCCUAGAAGAUAACACCCCAAAGUUCUCUGAAGCGAAGACACGUCAAUCAUCUGAGAGCUGGACAACAGGGGAAGUACACCUUGGAGAACAGGAACAUUUUUACGUGGAAAUUCAAGGCAAAGGAUAAAGAAAUGGACAUAUAUGUGUCACGCCAGGAUGCAGCAUUCACACAGGUUGGUUCCUAUCCAGUCAUGAUUUUGGGGUCAUGUUGAUGCAAUUCUAAAUGAGACGUUGUGGGGACAGAGU
rnacentral:lncRNA from 1 species